UUGGCCGGCCAGUGCGGCGGCGCCACCGUGCCGGAACCCUAAACUUAUAUUUUUUUUACUUUUUUUCUCUAAACCUACUCUAUUCUUCCUUCCGGUUCCGAUUUUAUGUAUGAAAUUUUCAAAAUAGGCCCGGUUCCACCUAGAUCUAAAAGGGAAGAAAUUUUUUAUACCUUUUGAUUUUGAUUUGAUUUGGUUUCUUUCUGGCUGGUUCUGUGAUGUUGUGUGUGUGUGUCGUUGUGCGAUGCCGUGUUGUUGGUGUUGCGGUUCUGUGCGAUGUCGUGUGCUUCUGGCUUCUGUUGUGUGUGUGCGUUGUGUUGCGAUGCCGUCCUCUGUUUUUUCGUCCUUUCUUUGUGUUGUGCAGGUCUCUAUUUAUAGAGUGAGGUUGAGGCUAGGGUUUGUUUAAAAUCCGCAGAAAUUAGGUGAUUGGGAUGGAAUCGGAUGGAGACGCGUUUGUGUUCCUGGCUUUUUGGCGGAUGAGGCUUGAACUGGAUUUGGAUUGAGAUUGAGCAUACAGACUGUUUUUUUUGGAUUGGAAAAAAAACGUGUUUGUGCAUCUGGACCACCUUUUGGAUUUUUGACACUUUUGGAC
rnacentral:lncRNA from 1 species